GCUUGUCUCAAAGAUUAAGCCAUGCAUGUCUAAGUAUAAACGACUUUAUACUGUGAAACUGCGAAUGGCUCAUUAUAUCAGUUAUAGUUUAUUUGAUGGUCCUUACUACUUGGAUAACCGUAGUAAUUCUAGAGCUAAUACAUGCAUCAAACCCCGACUUCUGGAAGGGGUGUAUUUAUUAGAUGGAAACCAAUGCGGGGCAACCCGGAAUAUGGUGAUUCAUAAUAACUGUUCGAAGCGCACGGCCUCGCGCCGGCGCUAGUUCAUUCAAAUUUCUGCCCUAUCAGCUUUCGACGGUAGUGUAGUGGACUACCGUGGCGCUAACGGGUGACGGAGAAUUAGGGUUCGGUUCCGGAGAGGGAGCCUGAGAAACGGCUACCACAUCCAAGGAAGGCAGCAGG
rnacentral:rRNA from 1 species